CCUACGGGUGGCAGCAGUGGGGAAUAUUGGACAAUGGGGGCAACCCUGAUCCAGCCAUGCCGCGUGUGUGAAGAAGGCCCUCGGGUUGUAAAGCACUUUCAGUGAGGAAGAACGCCUGGUGGUUAAUACCCAUCAGGAAAGACAUCACUCACAGAAGAAGCACCGGCUAACUCCGUGCCAGCAGCCGCGGUAAUACGGAGGGUGCGAGCGUUAAUCGGAAUUACUGGGCGUAAAGCGCGCGUAGGUGGCUUGAUAAGCCGGUUGUGAAAGCCCCGGGCUCAACCUGGGAACGGCAUCCGGAACUGUCAAGCUAGAGUGCAGGAGAGGAGGGUAGAAUUCCCGGUGUAGCGGUGAAAUGCGUAGAGAUCGGGAGGAAUACCAGUGGCGAAGGCGGCCUUCUGGACUGACACUGACACUGAGGUGCGAAAGCGUGGGUAGCGAACAGGAUUAGAUACCCUAGUAGUC
rnacentral:rRNA from 1 species